GCCCGGCUAACUACGUGCCAGCAGCCGCGGUAAUACGUAGGGGGCGAGCGUUGUCCGGAAUUAUUGGGCGUAAAGGGUACGUAGGCGGCUUUUUAAGUUUGACGUGAAAGCCCGGGGCUUAACUCCGGCAAGCGUUGAAAACUGGAGGGCUUGAGUGAUGGAAGGGACAGUGGAAUUCCUGGUGUAGUGGUGAAAUGCGCAGAGAUCAGGAAGAAUACCAGUGGCGAAGGCGACUGUCUGGACAUUAACUGACGCUGAGGUACGAAAGCAUGGGUAGCGAACAGGAUUAGAUACCCUGGUAGUCCAUGCUGUAAACGGUGGGCGCUAGGUGUGAGUCCCUUCCACGGGGUUCGUGCCGUAGCUAACGCAUUAAGCGCCCCGCCUGGGGAGUACGGCCGCA
rnacentral:rRNA from 1 species